GAGAAAGAUACAUAUAUGUGCAAGAAAAUGAUAUAAAGUACGAGAAAAAUUCAACAACCGUCUCCAAAUUAUUCUAUCAAGACCAAUUUGAUACUCAAACUCUCAAACGUACUACUGUGAUACCUAAAGACUUAUAUUGACAUCGACGUGAUACCUCCAUCCAAAAUCCGUGACGGCUCUGUCUAUUUUCUGGCGUCGCAAGCAUGUGUCAGACAUGUGAUAUUUUUAUCAAGGGCAGAAUAGUCAUUUCACUACUAACUAAUUAAAAAAAAAAAAAAACCAUGAACAGAGCUCUUUCUCUCUCUCUCUCUCUCUCUCCCAACUCCCAUUCUUCUUCUUCUUCUUCUUCUUCUUCCCAACACUGCCUCCCACUCCAUCUCACAAUAUCUGAUCUCGCCAGAUGCAUCAUUUUGCUGGAAUUUAGCAUCCUCCUCUUCAAGAAUGGCCUUGGCUUUUCGAGCCAAGAAUGGCCUUGGCUUUUUGAGCUAGAACACCCAAAACCCGGAUUUUGCUGACGAAUCUUCAUACGAUGCGAAGUCCUGUAUAUUCAUCCAUUUAUUCAUACAUGUCAAAAAUAAAAUCAGAUCUGCAAAGAUUGAAUCAAUCAAGUAGUACUGCGAAUACUAUGGCAGAGUCACGUAUGGCUUGAGCAGCAAGAGACUAAGAAGCCGAAAAUGAAUUGGAAGAUUGCAGACGGGAAGUAGCUGGAUUGAUAUUGUCCAGUGUGCGAUGAACAACCCUGCACCUAAAACCCCAGGCCCGAUCUGCCCCUCCGCUUGAUCUUUCACCAAGCAAGUGACGUUGGUGGCUGGUGGCUGAGGUUGCUGGGAGCCAAGGCUGAACCAAAAAAGACGAUGAAGAAGGAGAAAGUUCAGAAAGUAAGCAAGAAGAAGGAUGCUGAUGCUCCCAAGCGUCUUGCUGAGGUCACCGGAGACGUUCCGGAUAUAUCAAUGAAUUCUCGACAAAAGCUCAGCGGAAUUCAUUUUGGGGUGGGUGGUUGGUGGCUGAUGACGUUGUCAGAUAAGUAAGGAAAUGUGGUGGCGGAGCUUGCGGCAGUUUGCCUAGAACAAAAUCCCAAAGAAGAAGAAGAAGAAAAAAAGAAAGAAAAAGAAAUGAAUUAACAAAAAAAAGGGGUGAAUUGGUCAUUUAACUUUUUUUUUUUGUCUCCACGUCAGCAAAUAGAUGGA